rnacentral:rRNA from 1 species
AGUGAACGCUGGCGGUAGGCCUAACACAUGCAAGUCGAACGGCAGCACAGUAAGAGCUUGCUCUUACGGGUGGCGAGUGGCGGACGGGUGGGGAAUACAUCGGAAUCUACUUUUUCGUGGGGGAUAACGUAGGGAAACUUACGCUAAUACCGCAUACGACCUACGGGUGAAAGCAGGGGAUCUUCGGACCUUGCGCGAUUGAAUGAGCCGAUGUCGGAUUAGCUAGUUGGCGGGGUAAAGGCCCACCAAGGCGACGAUCCGUAGCUGGUCGGAGAGGAUGAUCAGCCACACUGGAACUGAGACACGGUCCAGACUCCUACGGGAGGCAGCAGUGGGGAAUAUUGGACAAUGGGCGCAAGCCUGAUCCAGCCAUACCGCGUGGGUGAAGAAGGCCUUCGGGUUGUAAAGCCCUUUUGUUGGGAAAGAAAAGCAGCAGGUUAAUACCCCGCUGUUCUGACGGUACCCAAAGAAUAAGCACCGGCUAACUUCGUG